UACAGAGGGUGCGAGCGUUGUUCGGAAUUACUGGGCGUAAAGCGCGCGUAGGCGGUCGUUUAAGUCUUACCGUGAAAUGCCGGGGCUCAACUGGGGAGGGUCACUCGAUACUGAUCGACUCGAAGGCAGGAGAGGGAAGUGGAAUUCCCGGUGUAGUGGUGAAAUGCGUAGAUAUCGGGAGGAACACCAGUGGCGAAGGCGACUUCCUGGCCUGUUCUUGACGCUGAGGCGCGAAAGCUAGGGGAGCAAACGGG
rnacentral:rRNA from 1 species